rnacentral:rRNA from 1 species
GCUUACGACCAUACAGCGUUGAAAGCACGCCAUCCCGGCCGAUCUUGCAAGUUUAGCAACGCUGGGUCUCCUUAGUAAUUGGAACGGAGACGUCUUGGGAAUCGGGGGUGUCGUUAGCUU